CAGCAGCCACGGGAAUACGGAGGGAGCUAGCGUUGUUCGGAAUUACUGGGCGUAAAGCGCACGUAGGCGGUUAUUCAAGUCAGAGGUGAAAGCCCGGGGCUCAACCCCGGAACUGCCUUUGAAACUAGAUGACUAGAAUCUUGGAGAGGUCAGUGGAAUUCCGAGUGUAGAGGUGAAAUUCGUAGAUAUUCGGAAGAACACCAGUGGCGAAGGCGACUGACUGGACAAGUAUUGACGCUGAGGUGCGAAAGCGUGGGGAGCAAACAGGAUUAGAUACCCGGGUAGUCCCUGUCUCUUAUAC
rnacentral:rRNA from 1 species